GGGACACGUGGUAUCCUGUCUGAAUAUGGGGGGACCAUCCUCCAAGGCUAAAUACUCCUGACUGACCGAUAGUGAACCAGUACCGUGAGGGAAAGGCGAAAAGAACCCCGGCGAGGGGAGUGAAAAAGAACCUGAAACCGUGUACGUACAAGCAGUGGGAGCACCCUUUGGGGUGUGACUGCGUACCUUUUGUAUAAUGGGUCAGCGACUUAUAUUCUGUAGCAAGGUUAACCGAAUAGGGGAGCCGUAGGGAAACCGAGUCUUAACCGGGCGUUAAGUUGCAGGGUAUAGACCCGAAACCCGGUGAUCUAGCCAUGGGCAGGUUGAAGGUUGGGUAACACUAACUGGAGGACCGAACCGACUAAUGUUGAAAAAUUAGCGGAUGACCUGUGGCUGGGGGUGAAAGGCCAAUCAAACCGGGAGAUAGCUGGUUCUCCCCGAAAGCUAUUUAGGUAGCGCCUCGUGAAUUCAUCUCCGGGGGUAGAGCACUGUUUCGGCUAGGGGGCCAUCCCGGCUUACCAACCCGAUGCAAACUGCGAAUACCGGAGAAUGUUAUCACGGGAGACACACGGCGGGUGCUAACGUCCGUCGUGAAGAGGGAAACAACCCAGACCGCCAGCUAAGGUCCCAAAGUCAUGGUUAAGUGGGAAACGAUGUGGGAAGGCCCAGACAGCCAGGAUGUUGGCUUAGAAGCAGCCAUCAUUUAAAGAAAGCGUAAUAGCUCACUGGUCGAGUCGGCCUGCGCGGAAGAUGUAACGGGGCUAAACCAUGCACCGAAGCUGCGGCAGCGACACUGUGUGUUGUUGGGUAGGGGAGCGUUCUGUAAGCCUGUGAAGGUGUGUCGUGAGGCAUGCUGGAGGUAUCAGAAGUGCGAAUGCUGACAUAAGUAACGAUAAAGCGGGUGAAAAGCCCGCUCGCCGGAAGACCAAGGGUUCCUGUCCAACGUUAAUCGGGGCAGGGUGAGUCGACCCCUAAGGCGAGGCCGAAAGGCGUAGUCGAUGGGAAACGGGUUAAUAUUCCCGUACUUGGUGUUACUGCGAAGGGGGGACGGAGAAGGCUAUGUUGGCCGGGCGACGGUUGUCCCGGUUUAAGCGUGUAGGUGUGUGUUCCAGGUAAAUCCGGUUCACUUUAACACUGAGGCGUGAUGACGAGGCACUACGGUGCUGAAGCAACAAAUGCCCUGCUUCCAGGAAAAGCCUCUAAGCAUCAGGUAACAUCAAAUCGUACCCCAAACCGACACAGGUGGUCAGGUAGAGAAUACCAAGGCGCUUGAGAGAACUCGGGUGAAGGAACUAGGCAAAAUGGUGCCGUAACUUCGGGAGAAGGCACGCUGACACGUAGGUGAAGUGAUUUACUCAUGGAGCUGAAGUCAGUCGAAGAUACCAGCUGGCUGCAACUGUUUAUUAAAAACACAGCACUGUGCAAACACGAAAGUGGACGUAUACGGUGUGACGCCUGCCCGGUGCCGGAAGGUUAAUUGAUGGGGUCAGCGCAAGCGAAGCUCCUGAUCGAAGCCCCGGUAAACGGCGGCCGUAACUAUAACGGUCCUAAGGUAGCGAAAUUCCUUGUCGGGUAAGUUCCGACCUGCACGAAUGGCGUAAUGAUGGCCAGGCUGUCUCCACCCGAGACUCAGUGAAAUUGAACUCGCUGUGAAGAUGCAGUGUACCCGCGGCAAGACGGAAAGACCCCGUGAACCUUUACUAUAGCUUGACACUGAACAUUGAGCCUUGAUGUGUAGGAUAGGUGGGAGGCUUUGAAGCGUGGACGCCAGUCUGCGUGGAGCCGACCUUGAAAUACCACCCUUUAAUGUUUGAUGUUCUAACGUGGACCCGUGAUCCGGGUUGCGGACAGUGUCUGGUGGGUAGUUUGACUGGGGCGGUCUCCUCCUAAAGAGUAACGGAGGAGCACGAAGGUUGGCUAAUCCUGGUCGGACAUCAGGAGGUUAGUGCAAUGGCAUAAGCCAGCUUGACUGCGAGCGUGACGGCGCGAGCAGGUGCGAAAGCAGGUCAUAGUGAUCCGGUGGUUCUGAAUGGAAGGGCCAUCGCUCAACGGAUAAAAGGUACUCCGGGGAUAACAGGCUGAUACCGCCCAAGAGUUCAUAUCGACGGCGGUGUUUGGCACCUCGAUGUCGGCUCAUCACAUCCUGGGGCUGAAGUAGGUCCCAAGGGUAUGGCUGUUCGCCAUUUAAAGUGGUACGCGAGCUGGGUUUAGAACGUCGUGAGACAGUUCGGUCCCUAUCUGCCGUGGGCGCUGGAGAACUGAGGGGGGCUGCUCCUAGUACGAGAGGACCGGAGUGGACGCAUCACUGGUGUUCGGGUUGUCAUGCCAAUGGCACUGCCCGGUAGCUAAAUGCGGAAGAGAUAAGUGCUGAAAGCAUCUAAGCACGAAACUUGCCCCGA
rnacentral:rRNA from 1 species